ACUCAACGCCGGGAAACUCACCAGAUAAGACAGCUGAAUGAUAGUCGGGCUGAAGACUCUACUUGACUAGCUGAGAGGAGGUGCAUGGCCGUCGUCAGUUCGUACUGUGAAGCAUCCUGUUAAGUCAGGCAACGAGCGAGACCCACGCCAACAGUUGCCAGCUCGUCCUCCGGGAUGGUGGGGACACUGUUGGGACCGCCUCUGCUAAAGAGGAGGAAGGAAUGGGCAACGGUAGGUCAGCAUGCCCCGAAUUAUCUGGGCUACACGCGGGCUACAAUGGGUGGGACAAUGGGUAUCGACACCGAAAGGCGAAGGCAAUCUCCUAAACCCAUCCGUAGUUCGGAUUGUGGGCUGCAACUCGCCCACAUGAAGCUGGAAUCUGUAGUAAUCGUGUCUCAAAAUGGCACGGUGAAUAUGUCCCUGCUCCUU
rnacentral:rRNA from 1 species